rnacentral:rRNA from 1 species
UACGUAGAAGACUAGUGUUAUUCAUCUUUAAUAGGUUUAAAGGGUACCUAGACGGUAUAAUUAGUCUUUAACAGGAAACGGUUAUACUAGAGUUAUAUAUGAGGAGGUGAGUAUUUGUGGAGUAGAGUUGAAAUUCUUUGAUACCAUGAAGACUGGUAAAGGCGAAAGCAACCUUUUAUCUAAUAACUGACGUUGAGGGACGAAGGCUCGGGUCGCGACAGG